rnacentral:lncRNA from 1 species
UUCCGAUAAGGAAAAGGAACCAUCAGGCAUCAAUAUACUUAAACACAAGAUAUCAAGAAUCUGUCGUUGAGAAUAGAAUUGAGAGGAACCAGCUAUAUACUCCAGCUGGGAACAAAAUGCACAUUGCACAAUGCCAGAGCAAUUAUUACAAAACUUUAACAAUUUACAGAGCUUGCAAUGACAUAAACCAAUAUUUUGAGCAAUUAUUACAAAACUUUAACAAUUUACAGAGCUUGCAAUGACAAACCAAUAUUUUUGCACCUUACUACUUACUAGUAGGCUAAACAAAAUCAAAACAUGAAACAACGGGUCCAGAUUAGAGGAAUGAAGACCAGGAAGGCUUAUAAUAUCUUGAGAAGGAAUAUCUCAGCCAUAAGAUGCAAAUAAAUGCGGAGAAAAAUCCUCAAUCCAUGGAAAAGAAUAGCAGCAUGAUUCCAAUCGACCGAAAUCUCAAGCCCCAACCCUACUUCCUAAUUUGGUAAACAACACUCCUUCAAGCUACUUUUUGCUAGAACUUGAAGGACCAGAAUCCCUGAAUAGCAGAUAAACAGAUGAUACUAACUGGAAUCUACCUGCAAACAAUAAUAAUCUGUUAAUGAAAAAUAUACACACAUUAACAUAUAUUGUAACAAUUUGUAACUGUUGUAAUAUAUAUCUUUAUAUAAUGAUAGUUGCUCAAAUUAUUCUGUUAAUUGCACCCGAGACCAUAGACUUUUACCUUGAAAAGACUACACUAUUCAUGAGCAAGUAUACUACAUCACUAGUGCAGCUAUAACUUUCCCUAGUAGUUGCUAGUGUCGACUUCUGCAACUCCCUACUAUAUCUGUUCACUAUGUGUUAAACAUAUCUGUUACCACCUGUUUCCCUCUUUCUUUUCAAUUUCCCUUGGUGGUUCAAAAAGCUUUAAAAUGACAACAGCAAAAAGUAAUAAGUAGAACAUACCAUUUAGCUUUAGGACAAUUCCAGGUAGAUUUUCUUGAGGCGUGCAACAGUGAGAACAAUCCUUCAGAAAACUCAAAUGCAGACAUGCAGGCGCAGCAAUGGUAACAUAUACACUGUAGUAAUUAUGAGCCAGCAAAUAAUGUCCACUAUGCACAGAAUAUCCAAUCUGCACAAGAACCUACUGUAGAUCUCCACUACCUAAGAAUAUGAUUUGAACACUAUACAUCUGGACAGUAAAAAUAU